rnacentral:rRNA from 1 species
UAGGGAAUCUUCGGCAAUGGGGGGAACCCUGACCGAGCAACGCCGCGUGAGUGAAGAAGGUUUUCGGAUCGUAAAGCUCUGUUGUUAAGGAAGAACGAGUGUGAGAAUGGAAAGUUCAUGCUGUGACGGUACUUAACCAGAAAGGGACGGCUAACUACGUGCCAGCAGCCGCGGUAAUACGUAGGUCCCGAGCGUUGUCCGGAUUUAUUGGGCGUAAAGCGAGCGCAGGCGGUUAGAAAAGUCUGAAGUGAAAGGCAGUGGCUCAACCAUUGUAGGCUUUGGAAGCUGUUUACCUUGAGUGCAGGAGGGGAGAGGGGAAUUCCAUGUGUAGCGGUGAGAUGCGUAGAUAUAUGGGGGAACACCGGUGGAGAGAGCGGCUCUCUGGUCUGUAACUGACGCUGAGGCUCGAAAGCGUGGGGAGCGAACAGG